rnacentral:sRNA from 1 species
GUCAAAAAUGUAUUGAAAAAGCAGAGAGAGAAUGCCUCGGUGUGUAAGUGGAGUGAUGAGGACCUGAUCUCUGGGCCGUGUGGGAACACUGGCUGCCAUUUCAUCACAGUCAACCUGGACUCACAGAAUUUCAAGAGCUUGUUGGUUGGGUCAAGAAUGAACCGACGCAUGACGGCAUGCUGAUCCUGGGUUUCUAGUCGUCCUUUUUAACCUGCAAAGAAGCAUUUGCAGACGUUGUCUCAUGGGUACCGCUUGCCAACUUUGGAGCCAGGUUCACAGAGGCUCUGAUGCUUUUUGGUUGAUUGCUGGUGAGAAUGGCCGGGGGUGGCUGCAGUGGUAGCCUGAGGAAGGCCGAGCUGCCCUCCCUGGGAAUCACUCAGAUGCCCCAAGAUGUCCAUUGGGAAGCUCC